rnacentral:rRNA from 1 species
GAUGAACGCUAGCGGCAGGCUUAAUACAUGCAAGUCGAGGGGCAUCGCGGGUAGCAAUACCUUGCGGCGACCGGCGCAUGGGUGCGUAACGCGUAUGUAAUCUACCUUUAACCGUGGAAUAGCCCAGAGCAAUCUGGAUUAAUGCCCUAUCGUAGUAUCGGAAGGCAUCUUUCGAUAAUAAAAGCUUCGUCUGUUUUAGAUCAACAUGCGUGUCAUUAGUUAGUUGGCGAGGUAACGGCUCACAAAGAAUACGAGGACUAGGGGUUCUGAGAGGAUGAUCCCCCACACUGGUACUGAGACACGGACCAGACUCCUACGGGAGGCAGCAGUAAGGAAUAUAGGGCAAUGGAGGCAGAUCUGACCAGCCAUGCCGCGUGAAGGAUGACGGCCCUCGUGGUUGUAAACUUCUUUUGUACGGGAAUAACACUCCGAACGUGUUCGGAGCUGAAGGUACCGUAAGAAUAAGGAUCGCCUAACUCCGUGCCAGCAGCCGCAGUAAUAC